UGACUGAACGGUAAAGCGCUUGGCUUCCGAACAAGAGGGUCCCGGGUUCGAAUCCUGG
rnacentral:tRNA from 1 species